GGCGGAGUGGCCGAGUGGCUUAGGCGGGAGUCUGCAAAACUCCAUACAACGGUUCGAAUCCGUUCUCACGCCUCAA
rnacentral:tRNA from 1 species